rnacentral:lncRNA from 1 species
GUCCAGGGGCAGCUGAUCCUCGGGGCACUUGAAGACGCCUUCGCUGAGGAACUCCUGCAGGCAGGUGUCACAGAAGCGGUGUCCGCAGGUGGAGACCCGCACGGGCUCCCGCAUGGGCUUCCCGCACAGCGGGCACAGCACUCUCCGCCGCGGCCGCUCCAGCAGUUUGUAGUCGUAGCCCGGCAUCGCGCACCGCUCCCGGCCCCGCGCCGCGCACCGCUCCG